rnacentral:rRNA from 2 species
UGGGGAAUAUUGCACAAUGGGCGGAAGCCUGAUGCAGCGACGCCGCGUGGGGGAUGACGGCCUUCGGGUUGUAAACUCCUUUCGACAGGGACGAAGCUUUUUGUGACGGUACCUGUAUAAGAAGCACCGGCUAACUACGUGCCAGCAGCCGCGGUAAUACGUAGGGUGCGAGCGUUGUCCGGAAUUACUGGGCGUAAAGAGCUCGUAGGUGGUUUGUCGCGUCGUCUGUGAAAUUCCGGGGCUUAACUCCGGGCGUGCAGGCGAUACGGGCAUAACUUGAGUGCUGUAGGGGAGACUGGAAUUCCUGGUGUAGCGGUGAAAUGCGCAGAUAUCAGGAGGAACACCGAUGGCGAAGGCAGGUCUCUGGGCAGUAACUGACGCUGAGGAGCGAAAGCAUGGGUAGCGAACAGG